GAUGAACGCUGGCGGCGUGCCUAAUACAUGCAAGUCGAGCGAACAGACGAGGAGCUUGCUCCUUUGACGUUAGCGGCGGACGGGUGAGUAACACGUAGGUAACCUACCUAUAAGACUGGGAUAACUUCGGGAAUCCGGAGCUAAUACCGGAUAAUAUUUCGAACCGCAUGGUUCGAUAGUGAAAGAUGGCUUUGCUGUCACUUAUAGAUGGACCUGCGCCGUAUUAGCUAGUUGGUAAGGUAACGGCUUACCAAGGCAACGAUACGUAGCCGACCUGAGAGGGGGAUCGGCCACACUGGAACUGAGACACGGUCCAGACUCCUACGGGAGGCAGCAGUAGGGAAUCUUCCGCAAUGGGCGAAAGCCUGACGGAGCAACGCCGCGUGAGUGAUGAAGGUCUUCGGAUCGUAAAACUCUGUUAUUAGGGAAGAACAAACGUGUAAGUAACUGUGCACGUCUUGACGGUACCUAAUCAGAAAGCCACGGCUAACUACGUG
rnacentral:rRNA from 1 species